CCUACGGGAGGCAGCAGUGAGGAAUAUUGGUCAAUGGACGAGAGUCUGAACCAGCCAAGUAGCGUGAAGGAUGACUGCCCUAUGGGUUGUAAACUUCUUUUAUAAAGGAAUAAAACGAGGCACGUGUGCCUAUUUGCAUGUACUUUAUGAAUAAGGAUCGGCUAACUCCGUGCCAGCAGCCGCGGUAAUACGGAGGAUCCGAGCGUUAUCCGGAUUUAGUGGGUUUAAAGGGAGCGUAGAUGGGUUGUUAAGUCAGUUGUGAAAGUUUGCGGCUCAACCGUAAAAUUGCAAUUGAUACUGGCAGUCUUGAGUACAGUUGAGGUAGGCGGAAUUCGUGGUGUAGCGGUGAAAUGCUUAGAUAUCACGAAGAACCCCGAUUGCGAAGGCAGCUUACUAAACUGUGACUGACAUUGAUGCUCGAAAGUGUGGGUAUCAAACAGGAUUAGAUACCCUAGUAGUC
rnacentral:rRNA from 1 species